rnacentral:rRNA from 1 species
UACGUAGGGCGCAAGCGUUGUCCGGAAUUAUUGGGCGUAAAGAGCUCGUAGGCGGCUUGUCACGUCUGCUGUGAAAUCCCGGGGCUCAACCCCGGGCGUGCAGUGGAUACGGGCUGGCUAGAGGCAGGCAGGGGAGAACGGAAUUCCCGGUGUAGCGGUGAAAUGCGCAGAUAUCAGGAGGAACACCGGUGGCGAAGGCGGUUCUCUGGGCAUGUCCUGACGCUGAGGAGCGAAAGUGUGGGGAGCGAACAGG